rfam:Schistosoma margrebowiei strain Zambia genome assembly, scaffold: SMRZ_scaffold0000069
ACCCAUCUGACGAGUUCCAAAUAGGAUGAAACGCACGUCCUAUAU